CCUACGGGUGGCAGCAGUGGGGAAUUUUGGGCAAUGGGCGCAAGCCUGACCCAGCAACGCCGCGUGAAGGAAGAAGGCUUUCGGGUUGUAAACUUCUUUUCUCAGGGACGAAGAAAGAGUCGGUACCUGCGGAAUAAGUCACCGCUAACUACGUGCGAGCAGCCGCGGUCAUACGUAGGUGGCAAGCGUUAUCCGGCGUUAUUGGGUGUAAAGGGCGUGUAGGCGGGAGCGGAAGUCAGAUGUGAAAACUCAGGGUACAAACCUGCUCGUGCAUAUGAAACUGUGUUUCUUGAGUGCUGGAGAGGCAAUUGGAAUUACGUGUGUAGCGGUAAAAUGCGUAAAUAUACGGAGGAACACCAGUGGCGAAGGCGGAUUGCUGGGUAGUAACUGACACUGAGGCGCGAAAGCGUGGGGAGCAAACAGGAUUAGAUACCCGAGUAGUC
rnacentral:rRNA from 1 species